UAAAUUAAAAGAAUUAAGAUUAAUUAAAAAAAAAAAAUUUAUGUGCAUUAAAAUUGGAAAAUAAAAAAGUAAAACUUUGAAGUUAUGGUUUUGAUAUGAAAAAUUUCUGACUCCAUGAACCCUUUGGAUAUUCAAUUAGAUGUGUCAACAAAACAAGCUAAGAUUCCAAAGUUAAGCAAAAUUAAAGGGAUCAAAUGCAUUUUGCUGUUGGUUUAGUUAGAUCUCAUGAAAGCAAAACUGAAUUGCUUCUUAUACAAAUUAAAUUAAAACAUUUUGAAGAUUGAAAAAGGGUUAAUUACCUCAGUGGCCAUUGGAGAGAAG
rnacentral:misc_RNA from 1 species